AGAACGAACGCUGGCGGCAUGCCUAAUACAUGCAAGUCGAACGAACACUUCGGUGUUAGUGGCGCACGGGUGCGUAACGCGUGGGAAUCUGCCCUUGGGUUCGGAAUAACAGUUGGAAACGACUGCUAACACCGGAUGAUGACGAAAGUCCAAAGAUUUAUCGCCCAGGGAUGAGCCCGCGUAGGAUUAGCUAGUUGGUGAGGUAAAGGCUCACCAAGGCAACGAUCCUUAGCUGGUCUGAGAGGAUGAUCAGCCACACUGGGACUGAGACACGGCCCAGACUCCUACGGGAGGCAGCAGUAGGGAAUAUUGGAC
rnacentral:rRNA from 1 species